rnacentral:miRNA from 1 species
UAGUACGACCCAUUCCGGCCCA